rnacentral:rRNA from 1 species
AUGACACCAUCGGAUUCACUACCACGGGCAGUCUGGGAUGCUGCAACCAGCGGCCGAGGUUGCCGUGUCCUCGUCAAUGACGCUACAAACUACCACAUGAUGCUUGGGACGGCGACAUCUCAGUACUGCAUCGGAGGCAGCAGGCCUGCUUACGAUGACGGUGACCCGUUGAAGGACGAGAGCGGAUGGCCGGUGAGCACGGGCGGCUGGGGCGACGAGCACGGGUGCGUCGUUGGCCGGCAAGCACAGGCGGCCAAGGAAGACUGGAUGUGCAUCGACAGCGGCGAGCAAGGAGUCCGCCAUGGAUGGGAGUUGCUGGUCAACGCUGAGCCAGAUGUGAAGGGGAAAAGAUUAUGCAGGGAAAUUAACGGUUGGAGGUGGCCUAAUCCUAGGAUUGGGGGCCGACCGUCCGAAAUUUUCGACCCCCGCGCCGACGCCUAG